rnacentral:rRNA from 1 species
UACGGAGGGUGCAAGCGUUGUCCGGAUUUAUUGGGUUUAAAGGGUGCGUAGGAGGGCAGGUAAGUCAGUGGUGAAAUCUCUGGGCUUAACCCAGAAACUGCCGUUGAUACUAUCUGUCUUGAAUACCGUGGAGGUGAGCGGAAUAUGUCAUGUAGCGGUGAAAUGCUUAGAUAUGACAUAGAACACCAAUUGCGAAGGCAGCUCGCUACACGAAUAUUGACUCUGAGGCACGAAAAGCGUGGGGAUCAAACAGG